rnacentral:rRNA from 1 species
AGAGUUUGAUCCUGGCUCAGAAUCAACGCUGGCGGCGCGCUUAACACAUGCAAGUCGAACGAGAAAGUGGAGCAAUCCAUGAGUACAGUGGCGUACGGGUGAGUAACACGUGGGUAAUCUACCUUUUAGUGUGGAAUAACCCUGGGAAACCGGGGCUAAUACCGCAUAAGCUCGAGAGAGGAAAGUCGCAAGACGCUGAAAGAGGAGCCCGCGGCCGAUUAGCUAGUUGGCAGGGUAAGAGCCUACCAAGGCAGAGAUCGGUAGCCGGCCUGAGAGGGCACACGGCCACACUGGCACUGAAACACGGGCCAGACUCCUACGGGAGGCAGCAGUGGGGAAUCUUGCACAAUGGGGGCAACCCUGAUGCAGCGACGCCGCGUGAGCGAUGAAGCCCUUCGGGGUGUAAAGCUCUUUCGGCAGGGAAGAUAAUGACGGUACCUGCAGAAGCAGCUGCGGCUAACUACGUGCCAGCAGCCGCGGUAAUACGUAGGCAGCGAGCGUUGUUCGGAGUUACUGGGCGUAAAGGGUGUGUAGGCGGUUGUUUAAGUUUGGUGUGAAAUCUCCCGGCUCAACUGGGAGGGUGCGCCGAAUACUGAAUGACUAGAGUGCGGGAGAGGAAAGUGGAAUUCCUGGUGUAGCGGUGAAAUGCGUAGAUAUCAGGAGGAACACCGGUGGUGUAGACGGCUUUCUGGACCGUAACUGACGCUGAGACACGAAAGCGUGGGUAGCAAACAGGAUUAGAUACCCUAGUAGUCC